AACGCUGGCGGCGUGCCUAAUACAUGCAAGUCGAGCGAACGGACGAGAAGCUUGCUUCUCUGAUGUUAGCGGCGGACGGGUGAGUAACACGUGGAUAACCUACCUAUAAGACUGGGAUAACUUCGGGAAACCGGAGCUAAUACCGGAUAAUAUUUUGAACCGCAUGGUUCAAAAGUGAAAGACGGUCUUGCUGUCACUUAUAGAUGGAUCCGCGCUGCAUUAGCUAGUUGGUAAGGUAACGGCUUACCAAGGCAACGAUGCAUAGCCGACCUGAGAGGGUGAUCGGCCACACUGGAACUGAGACACGGUCCAGACUCCUACGGGAGGCAGCAGUAGGGAAUCUUCCGCAAUGGGCGAAAGCCUGACGGAGCAACGCCGCGUGAGUGAUGAAGGUCUUCGGAUCGUAAAACUCUGUUAUUAGGGAAGAACAUAUGUGUAAGUAACUGUGCACAUCUUGACGGUACCUAAUCAGAAAGCCACGGCUAACUACGUGCCAGCAGCCGCGGUAAUACGUAGGUGGCAAGCGUUAUCCGGAAUUAUUGGGCGUAAAGCGCGCGUAGGCGGUUUUUUAAGUCUGAUGUGAAAGCCCACGGCUCAACCGUGGAGGGUCAUUGGAAACUGGAAAACUUGAGUGCAGAAGAGGAAAGUGGAAUUCCAUGUGUAGCGGUGAAAUGCGCAGAGAUAUGGAGGAACACCAGUGGCGAAGGCGACUUUCUGGUCUGUAACUGACGCUGAUGUGCGAAAGCGUGGGGAUCAAACAGGAUUAGAUACCCUGGUAGUCCACGCCGUAAACGAUGAGUGCUAAGUGUUAGGGGGUUUCCGCCCCUUAGUGCUGCAGCUAACGCAUUAAGCACUCCGCCUGGGGAGUACGACCGCAAGGUUGAAACUCAAAGGAAUU
rnacentral:rRNA from 1 species